rnacentral:rRNA from 1 species
GACGAACGCUGGCGGCGUGCUUAACACAUGCAAGUCGAACGGAAAGGCCCUGCUUUUGUGGGGUGCUCGAGUGGCGAACGGGUGAGUAGCACGUGAGUAACCUGCCCUUGACUUUGGGAUAACUUCAGGAAACUGGGGCUAAUACCGGAUAGGAGCUCCUGCUGCAUGGUGGGGGUUGGAAAGUUUCGGCGGUUGGGGAUGGACUCGCGGCUUAUCAGCUUGUUGGUGGGGUAGUGGCUUACCAAGGCUUUGACGGGUAGCCGGCCUGAGAGGGUGACCGGCCACAUGGGGACUGAGAUACGGCCCAGACUCCUACGGGAGGCAGCAGUGGGGAAUAUUGCACAAUGGGCGGAAGCCUGAUGCAGCAACGCCGCGUGCGGGAUGACGGCCUUCGGGUGGUAAACCGCUUUCGCCUGUGACGAAGCGUGAGUGACGGUAAUGGGUAAAGAAGCACCGGCUAACUACGU